AACGAACGCUGGCGGCAGGCCUAACACAUGCAAGUCGAACGCAUCGCAAGAUGAGUGGCGCACGGGUGAGUAACACGUGGGAACGUACCCUUUGGUUUGGAAUAACGUUUGGAAACGAACGCUAAUACCGGAUGAGCCCUGAGGGGGAAAGAUUUAUCGCCAAAGGAGCGGCCCGCGUCUGAUUAGGUAGUUGGUGGGGUAAUGGCCUACCAAGCCGACGAUCAGUAGCUGGUCUGAGAGGAUGAUCAGCCACACUGGGACUGAGACACGGCCCAGACUCCUACGGGAGGCAGCGGUGGGGAAUAUUGGACAAUGGGCGGAAGCCCGAUCCAGCCAUGCCGCGUGAGUGAUGAAGGCCUUCGGGUUGUAAAGCUCUUUCGCACGCGACGAUGAUGACGGUAGCGUGAGAAGAAGCCCCGGCUAACUUCGUGCCAGCCGCCGCGGUAA
rnacentral:rRNA from 1 species